UUAGUUUUCAGAACAGCUGGCCUCCAAAAGAACUAUCAUUUCCCAUCACCAGGUACAUCUGUAAAAUAGCAGAUUUGCAUCAUAUCUUUUGCUUUUCUACUACGUUUUCAAAAAAUUAAUUGUUUCCUCAUUCAUUUCAAAGGUCACCCACUUUUCUUCUUCUCUUUCGGUCCAAAGCUUUGUUUCCUCUUUCAUUUCAAAUGUCACUCCCUUUUCUUCUUUAAUAACAUUUCAAGCGUUGCAAACACUCCUUCUUCCCUUUCGGUCCAAAGCUCUUAGACUUAACUGCUCCAUAUCUCUUCGGAUGGUGUCUGGAAUCCCUCCCUCAGGUAAUAAUCCUCUCCUUUGUUAAGCGUUUUUCUUGCGAUUAUAUCAGCACAUGUGUUUUCAGUCCUUGGGAUAAACUGAAAUCGGAUCUCUUGAAAAUAACUCUUUGUUGCUUGAAUGUCUCUGAUGAGUGCUCCAAUAAUUGAACUGUCAUGAUCUGCACUUUGGCAUUUUGUUAUAACCGUUUUUGAAUCGCCUAUUAUGUUUAGAACAGUAAAGCCCAUUUGCUUCCCUAACCUUGUGGCUGUAACCCUGCAUGUGCUUCUAUCGCGAACGGAGACGCUACGUUGGAAUGAAGAACCGAUUUAGAGGCUAAGAUUCUACCCCCAUGUCUUUUACAACCAAACCUGACGCAGAUCUGGAAGCUUGCUGAUUGUAAGCCACAUCAAAAUAAAUUUCCAAGUUUGCUCUCCGUUCGGUUUGUGGAGAACUCAUUUUUGCUUCCAAACUAAGUGUUCUUUCCUCUAUUCCUUCUAACUCUAAUAUGUAACAGGUGAUUUGUUUUGAAAUAUCCCAACUGUUAAGCUUUCUUCAUUCAUAUAUUAACUUGUUUCUGUUCGACCAGAUCAUCCAGAGUCUACAGUAAAAAAUUAUGCAUUGCUUAUUCGUUUCACGAUUAAAAACCCUGGUAAGCCAAUCCCAUAACACUGAAGAAAUAUUAUCAAGUACCUAUGCAAAAUUUAACAGUCUCCAUACUUCUUUUGUUGUAGGGAAGAAUCGGAAAACAUGGUUGAUAUCCUCAACAUCUUGCUGACACCUAAGACACCGAUCUACCGUAAUCACUCUCUUCAGCUUUAAAUUAGAAAAAGUGGGGAUGUAAUUCCACGAUAACCUCCAUACUGUAAUUUUUAUUUUUGAGGGCAUGUUUAAGCUCUAUAGUUUCUUGUAAAAAUUUUUAGUAUCGGUUUGUAUAAUAUUACUAGGAAUCAAUGUAGAUUCUUUUAAUAGUUUAUAGGCACUCUGCACUAAAAAAUUCCCUGAUGGCUCCCCUCUCCACACUUGAAAAUCUUCAUAUACUGAUUUCACCAACGUGAUUUGCAGGAUUUUCCUAGCAAUAUUCGCAUCAAAGGUAUUGACAAUCAAAUCAUUUUUCCAA
rnacentral:lncRNA from 1 species